CGUCCUCCUCCGUGUUGUUCAGUCUCGGUAGAGAUUUGCUUCUGCUCUCCACCUGUGUCAGCUCAGAGUAUGUGAGCCCUGGUCGAGAAGGAUCACCCGGGUAGCUUGUGCAAAGAUCCAGUCUGAGAGAAGCCCAGAGGCAUGCCUCUUUUCGGCAAUGGAGGUACACCCUGAAGGACAUGACACGAGAACAAUGAGAAUAUGGACGACCAAACAGUUUCUCCACAUGGUCCAUUAGUAGCUGCUGGUCGUAUCACAUGAGCUUCCUCUGCAGAUGAUUUUGGUUGAUUUGUUGUAGUAAAAGUUGGACUGGCAGAACAUUUUUUAGGUAAUGCAAAUGAAACCAAUAACACUCACAACUCACAUGGACUCAUUAACCAUUUAUUUACGUAUUUAUUCAGUUGGGUCCAGUGUUUGUGGUUUCUUUCUUUCUUUUUAUUUUUUAUUUAACCUUUUAUAUAACGACGGGAAAAGACCCAUUGAGAGAAAAUCUCUUUUUCAAGGGCGCCCUGGCCAAGAAAGGGAGCAGGACAGCAAGUCAGACAGUACAAACAUAAAACAAUGAUACAAAAUACAAUCAACACAUUUACCCUCUUACCUGUAUACAAAUGCAACAGUCGCAACCCACUAUCAAACCAGUACAUUCAAACUUCAAUGAGCAGUUAAAUUACAUCAAUGUGAUGCCAGCUUAUUCAAAAAUAGUUAUAUUCAUCUUUUAAAAACCUCUGUAAUCGAUGAUUUGAACUUUCCAAGAGACACCAGUACCUCCAGCCGGAGAGUCCCAAGUUAACGGUGCACAGCAUGAGAAGACUGCGGUCUUUCCAAACACUGAAGUCACCCUGCGAACUUUUAACAGCAGUAGCCUGCUGGACCGGGUUCGAUGACUACUCACCGCAAAGCUGAGGUGACUAUUAAUAAAAGGUGGUAAUAUGCAAACGAGUGCCUUUAUAAAUAAAGAUACACAAAUGUAUCUGUCUCCACACAGCUAAUAAUGACCAAUCCACCAUAUCAUAUAAUCUGCAGUGAUGCGCACGCGAUUCUGCAGGUGGAAUAAAACGCAACGCUGCAUGGUA